GACGAACGCUGGCGGCGCGCCUAACACAUGCAAGUCGAACGAGCGAGAGAGAGCUUGCUUUCUCAAGCGAGUGGCGAACGGGUGAGUAACGCGUGAGGAACCUGCCUCAAAGAGGGGGACAACAGUUGGAAACGACUGCUAAUACCGCAUAAGCCCACGACCCGGCAUCGGGUAGAGGGAAAAGGAGCAAUCCGCUUUGAGAUGGCCUCGCGUCCGAUUAGCUAGUUGGUUAGGUAACGGCCCACCAAGGCGACGAUCGGUAGCCGGACUGAGAGGUUGAACGGCCACAUUGGGACUGAGACACGGCCCAGACUCCUACGGGAGGCAGCAGUGGGGAAUAUUGCACAAUGGGGGAAACCCUGAUGCAGCGACGCCGCGUGGAGGAAGAAGGUCUUCGGAUUGUAAACUCCUGUUGUUGAGGAAGAUAAUGACGGUACUCAACAAGGAAGUGACGGCUAACUACGUG
rnacentral:rRNA from 1 species